rnacentral:rRNA from 1 species
GUGGGGAAUAUUGGGCAAUGGGCGCAAGCCUGACCCAGCAACGCCGCGUGAAGGAAGAAGGCUUUCGGGUUGUAAACUUCUUUUACCAGGGACGAAACAAAUGACGGUACCUGGUGAAUAAGCCACGGCUAACUACGUGCCAGCAGCCACGGUAAUACGUAGGUGGCGAGCGUUAUCCGGAUUUAUUGGGUGUAAAGGGCGUGUAGGCGGGACAGCAAGUCAGAUGUGAAAACCAGAGGCUCAACCUCUGGCCUGCAUUUGAAACUGUUGUUCUUGAGUGUCGGAAAGGUAAUCGGAAUUCCGUGUGUAGCGGUGAAAUGCGUAGAUAUACGGAGGAACACCAGUGGCGAAGGCGGAUUACUGGACGAUAACUGACGCUGAGGCGCGAAAGCGUGGGGAGCAAACAGGAUUAGAUACCCCAGUAGUCC